GCAGCUGCCGGCAUGACACGCCCCGGCUGGGUGUUGGCACUCGUGGUCUCCGCCUGUCUUGGAUCCAGCGUGGCCCAGACAGUCACUCAGUCUCAACCAGAGAUGUCUGUGCGGAAGAGAGUGUCGGUGACCCUGGGCUGCACAUAUGACACUGAUAUCAAGGACCCUGACCCCGCCGUGUACCAGCUGAAAAGCUCUAAAUUCGGGAACACUUCUGUCUGCCUGUUCACCGAUUUUCCUUCUAAUAAAACAAAUUCGUCCAAUGUUGAAUCGGGCGUGUUCAUGUCAGACAAAACUGUGCUGGAUAUGAGGUCCACGGGUUCCAAGAGCAAUGGUGUCUUGGCCUGGAGCAACAAUGCUGAUUUUGCAUGUGCAGACACUUUCAUGGAGGAUCCCUUCUACUCUAACUCAGAAGUUUCCUGUGAUGCCAAGUCGGUAGAAAAAAGCUUUGAGACAGAUAUGAACCUAAAUGUUCAGAACCUGUCAGUGAUUGGGCUCCGCAUCCUCCUCCUGAAAGUGGCCGGAUUUAAUCUGCUCAUGACACUGCGGCUGUGGUCCAGCUGAGGUCAGCAAGACCAUACGAGCCCGUGCCCCCUCGCUCCGUGCUCCGAAUUGCCCUCCUCUGCCUGUUACAGCAGAGGGAGUGAUUCUGCCCCACAAGAGGCUCUCACCGCCUGUCGGGCUCCCUGGCAGUGCCACCACCAAGAUUCUACCUGGCUUUGUGAUGAAGAUUGCUGAGGAGCUGCCAAACACUGCUGCCCUGUGCUCUGUCCCCUGUUGCUGCUUGUCACUGCGUGACACCCGCAGCAGAGGCAGGGCUGCUGCAGCUCUCCCCAGAGACCGACUGCCUCUGCAGCCCGCUGCGUGGCACAGCUCCAGUGGGUUCUCUCAGAUUCUAGCUCCUAGAGAAUAUUGUGAGGAGCUUAUUUUUUAAAUAGUGUUUAUAAAGAAAUCCGUGUUACUCUUUUCCUCAAUCUGUGGGGGAAAUUUUUCUCAUCGUCUAGCCCUGCCAUGCUGUGUACCCCAGCCAUGUUGUAAACCCGCUGCCCAAGGCUUCAUUAAAAGUGAUUUGGAAG